UACAGAGGGGGCAAGCGUUGUUCGGAAUUACUGGGCGUAAAGGGUUCGUAGGCGGCCAAUUAAGUCAGACGUGAAAUCCCUCAGCUUAACUGGGGAACUGCGUCUGAGACUGGAUGGCUUGAGUGCAGGAGAGGAACGCGGAAUUCCAGGUGUAGCGGUGAAAUGCGUAGAUAUCAGGAGGAACGCCGGUGGUGUAGACGGCUUUCUGGAUCGUAACUGACGCUGAGACACGAAAGCGUGGGUAGCAAACAGG
rnacentral:rRNA from 1 species